rnacentral:rRNA from 1 species
AGUUUGAUCAUGGCUCAGGAUUAACGCUGGCGGCAUGCCUAAGACAUGCAAGUCGAACGAGGUGACCCAUUGAAGUUGGAGUGCUUGCACAAAGAUGGAUUUGGAUUUUCACCUAGUGGCGGACGGGUGAGUAACACGUGGGUAAUCUACCUUUAAGAUUGGGAUACCACAAGGAAACUUGUGCUAAUACUGAAUAUUAGAUGGAAAUGAUUUUUUUAUUUUGAAAGGUGCCUUUAAAGCACUACUUAAAGAUGAGCCUGCGGCGUAUUAGUUAGUUGGUGGGGUAAUGGCCUACCAAGACAAUGAUGCGUAGCCGAACUGAGAGGUUGAUCGGCCACAUUGGGACUGAGACACGGCCCAAACUCCUACGGGAGACAGCAGUUAGGAAUAUUCGUCAAUGGGGGAAACCCUGAACGAGCAAUGCCGCGUGAGUGAUGACGGUCUUUAAGAUUGUAAAGCUCUGUUGUAUGGGAAGAACAUUAUAUAUAGGAAAUGAUAUAUAACUGACGGUACCAUACCAGAAAGCUCCGGCUAACUACGUGCCAGCAGCCGCGGUAAUACGUAGGGAGCGAGCGUUAUCCGGAUUUAUUGGGCGUANAGCGUGUGUAGGUGGUUUAUUAAGUAUAANAUUAAAGCCCGAGGCUUAACCUCGGUUCGUUUUAUAAACUGGUAGACUUGAGUAUGGUAGAGGCAAAUGGAAUUUCUAGUGUAGCGGUAGAAUGCGUAGAUAUUAGAAGGAACACCGGUGGCGAAGGCGAUUUGCUGGGCCAUUACUGACACUGAAACACGAAAGCGUGGGGAGCGAAUAGGAUUAGAUACCCUAGUAGUCCACGCCGUANACGAUGAGUACUAAGUGUUGGGAUUUCCCAGUGCUGAAGUUAACACAUUAAGUACUCCGCCUGANNANNACGGUCGCAAGGCUGAAACUCAAAGGAAUUGACGGGCACCNNCACAANCGGUGGAACAUGCUNNUUAAUU